rnacentral:rRNA from 1 species
GACGAACGCUGGCGGCGUGCCUGACACAUGCAAGUCGAACGGAAGUAAGAGCUUCGGUUUUUACUUUAGUGGCGAACGGGUGAGUAACGCGUGAGGAACCUGCCUUUCAGAGGGGGACAACAGUUGGAAACGACUGCUAAUACCGCAUAAUGUGUUUGGGGCAUCCCCGAAAUACCAAAGAUUUAUCGCUGAAAGAUGGGCUCGCGUCUGAUUAGCUAGUUGGUGGGGUAACGGCCUACCAAGGCGACGAUCAGUAGCCGGACUGAGAGGUUGAACGGCCACAUUGGGACUGAGAUACGGCCCAG